AACGAACGCUGGCGGCAGGCUUAACACAUGCAAGUCGAACGCUCCGCAAGGAGAGUGGCAGACGGGUGAGUAACACGUGGGAACGUACCCUUUACUACGGAACAACUCCGGGAAACUGGAGCUAAUACCGUAUGUGCCCUUUGGGGGCAAGAUUUAUCGGUAAAGGAUCGGCCCGCGUUGGAUUAGCUAGUUGGUGAGGUAAAGCCCUACCAAGCCGACGAUCCAUAGCCGGUCCGAGAGGAUGAUCAGCCACCUUGGGACUGAGACACGCCCCAAACUCCUACGGGAGGCAGCAGUGGGGAAUAUUGGACAAUGGGCGCAAGCCUGAUCCAGCCAUGCCGCGUGUGUGAUGAAGGCCUUAGGGUUGUAAAGCACUUUCACCGGAGAAGAUAAUGACGGUAUCCGGAGAAGAAGCCCCGGCUAACUUCGUGCCAGCCGCCGCAGUAA
rnacentral:rRNA from 1 species